AUUGCAUUCGGGCCGUCGGUCCACCGAGCAAUUUCAAGUGCUUAGUUGAAGAUCUUCCUUUUGUCGU
rnacentral:pre_miRNA from 1 species